AGCCCUGAGGUGUAAUUACAUAUCAGAUUGCAAAUCUGAAGAAGCAAGCUAGUCGUUUGCCGGGGCUU
rnacentral:tRNA from 1 species